UUGCUUCCACAGCACAUAUAUUAAAAUUGGAAUGGUACAGAGAAGACUAGCAUGACCCCUGUGCAAGGAUGGCACACAAAUUCGUGAAGCAUUCCAUAUUUAA